AUACUUAUCUGGCAGGAGAGACAAGAAGGUGGUUCACCCAGGGAGAGGGUUCACCAUUGCACUGCAGCUGUCUGACCUCUGCCAAUUCCAUAAAUGUGAGGAUCUCAGCUGCAUAAAUAUCUGAUAGGGGGGACUGUAUUCAUGUUCUCCCCUC
rnacentral:snRNA from 1 species